AGGAAUGUAUAGCAAUAGCUACUUGCAUCAUUGUAGAUAUGAUGUAAGAUCGACUAUGUUGAAUAAAAUUCUAGGUAGAAUUAUGAUAAUGACAUUGUCUGCCUAUGUGUCUUGACCAAAUUACGUGCCAGCAGUCGCGGUAAUACGUAGAAGACUAGUGUUAUUCAUGUUUAAUCGGUUUAAAGGGUACCUAGACGGUAGAUCAAGCUUUCUAAUAAAUGAAAAGGACUAAUUUACUAGAGUUACUUAUGAGGGGGUAUUAAAGUACUGCUGGUGUAGAGAUGAAAUUCUGUCAUACCUCUUUUCAAAGGAAAAACCAUGGCACAGGUAUAGGCGAAGGCAUCCCCUUAUGUGAUAACUGACGUUGAGGGACGAAGGCUUUGUGUAGCGAACAGGAUUAGAUACCCCAGUAGUCGAAGCAGAAAAUGAUGAAUGUCAUAGAUUAGAUGUAUAAGUUUAUUCUAUAAAUGAAAGUGUAAGCAUUCCACCUCAUGAGUAAUUUGGCAACAUUGGAACUGAAAUCAUUAGACCGUUUCUGAAACCAGUAGUGAAGUAUGUUGUUUAAUUUGAUGAUCCGCAAAAAACCUUACCACAAUUUGAAUAUUUAUAUUUUUUUUUAUUGUUUUCUCUUUUUUCUUCUGAAAAAAAAAAGAGAAGAAAAAAAUCAAAAAAGGAAGAAAAUUAAGAAAGAGGCAAUAAGAUAUAUUUACAAGCGUUGCACGGCUGUCUUCAGUUAAUGUCGCGAGACUUUGGUUAGUUCCAUUAAAUUAACGUAAACCCUUACUUUAUUUUUAUAUAGAGUAGUUCCCCGCUAUAUUGGAUAUGAU
rnacentral:rRNA from 1 species